rnacentral:lncRNA from 1 species
CAUGAGCAAAAUGCUCAUACACAUAAGAUAAUUAAAUAAAUCAAAAAAUAACUAAAAAAAAAGGAACAAAGAGAAAUUUGUUCCUCCUGCAGAAGCCAAGGAUAGACUUUGCUCAUCUUCAUCCAGGUCCAAAUGAUACCACGAGAUUUGUCUUGUGUCCAUCUCACUGCUCUACAAUCUUCUGUGAUGGUGAAAUUCUCAGAUUCCUCUUGUGCCCUGAUGACAUCACAGAACACGGUAUCACAAACUGCGCCCUUCAAAUUACAAGUCUAUUUUGACCAAGACGUCUCUCCCUCCGUCCUGCCGUUUUCUUGUUCACUGUCCACGACUUGGUGUUUUCAGCUCGAGGUUGCACAUGCCACUCGAGAUUCGGGGAAGGUCCUUAGUGAUUAAAACCUUGUACAAUCAUCAGGGACAUAAGUAGAAGUAACUCGGUCCUCAGC